AUUGAACGCUGGCGGCAUGCCUUACACAUGCAAGUCGAACGGUAACAGGUCUUCGGAUGCUGACGAGUGGCGAACGGGUGAGUAAUACAUCGGAACGUGCCCGAUCGUGGGGGAUAACGGAGCGAAAGCUUUGCUAAUACCGCAUACGAUCUACGGAUGAAAGCAGGGGACCGCAAGGCCUUGCGCGGACGGAGCGGCCGAUGGCAGAUUAGGUAGUUGGUGGGAUAAAAGCUUACCAAGCCGACGAUCUGUAGCUGGUCUGAGAGGACGACCAGCCACACUGGGACUGAGACACGGCCCAGACUCCUACGGGAGGCAGCAGUGGGGAAUUUUGGACAAUGGGCGCAAGCCUGAUCCAGCCAUGCCGCGUGCAGGAUGAAGGCCUUCGGGUUGUAAACUGCUUUUGUACGGAACGAAAAGACUCUGGUUAAUACCUGGGGUCCGUGACGGUACCGUAAGAAUAAGCACCGGCUAACUACGUGCCAGCCGCCGCGUAACAC
rnacentral:rRNA from 1 species